AGGACGAACGCUGGCGGCGUGCUUAACACAUGCAAGUCGAGCGAGGCCCUCCUUACGGGGGGUGCCCUAGCGGCGAACGGGUGAGUAACACGUGGGCAACCUCGUCCCUCUACGCUCUGGGAUAACUCCAAGAAAUUGGUGCUAAUACCGGAUGUCGACCGCUGACCGCAUGGUCUGGUGGUGGAAAGAUUCAUCGGCUGAGGAUGGGCCCGCGG
rnacentral:rRNA from 1 species